UACGUAGGGGGCAAGCGUUGUCCGGAAUCAUUGGGCGUAAAGCGCGCGUAGGCGGCCCGGUAAGUCCGUUGUGAAAGUCAAAGGCUCAACCUUUGAACGCCGAUGGAUACUGCCGGGCUAGAGUCCGGAAGAGGCGAGUGGAAUUCCUGGCGUAGCGGUGGAAUGCGCAGAUAUCAGGAGGAACACCAAUAGCGAAGGCAGCUCGCUGGGACGGUGCUGACGCUGAGGCGCGAAAGCGUGGGGAGCAAACAGG
rnacentral:rRNA from 1 species